UCGUAGUUCCUGUGUCCUCUGCAGCAUGGCCAUCACGGCAUGGAGGCAAUGAUGGAGACCUAGACUGGGAAGUUCUUCUUCGUGGGCAGAGAUGGGGCAAUGAUGAUAUCGUUGGAGUCAUCAGAGUUGACGUCAUCCCUAGGUGGAGGUGCCACGAGCUGCAGCCCCGAAGGAGGGGGGGUCUGUGGAAAUGAACCACAGAGAGAGGGGUCAGCCACACUGACCUCAGGGGCUGCCACCACGGACACCCUUUCACUGUCUGCUCUUCCCUGCAAGAUGGCGGCCACCCCCAGAAGCAAAACUACGACACCGGAGGAAGUGACAAGGACACAACCCACCAGCUCUCCGUUGUACCCUUACACAACAGAUGGGAAUGACACCGUGACAGUCUUCAGAUGGCCUUUGGAAUAACAAUCAAACUGUAAGCAUAUUCCUCCUUAUUUGAUUAGCCAGAUUCACUUGAAUAUCUCCCUGGAAGCAAGUUACAUUUAAAGCCUAUUUCUGUAAGGCUAGCCUGCAGAUUUUUUUUUUUAAUUCUUAAAAAAAAUGAAGAAAAUAAUUUGACUCUCAAAUAGAAUGCUUUAAUUUGAAAAGUUUAUUUCGGUGAUCUCGUUUGUUAGGGAUACCCAAAGAGCAAUAUGUUACUGAGUAGUACACUUAGAUACACAGUACAUAGACUUUCUGCUGGGCGAAAAUUGGGGAAAAAAAGAAUGAGCUAAUUUAAGGAGAGCAAGUUAAGAUAACACACCAAGGAGGAAUUCAAUUAUCAUUAGGAAAACAGCAUGCUUUGACAGGUGGAAUAGAGGCCAUCCCAAACAAAAGUAUAAUGUAAGUGAAACUAACAUAAUAUGUUUAUUCCCUAAUAUAUUUCCCCCACCUAAUGACUAUUUUAUGCAGAAAUUUUUAAGACUACUGUUGAUUUUUUCCUAUACAUAAACCUCUCCAUGGGAUGACUUUUUUUUUUUGAGUCAUUGUCUCACUUUGUCACCCAGGCUGGAGUGUAGUGGCGUGAUCCCAGCUCACUGCAACCUCCUCCUAUUGGGUUCAAGUGAUUCUCCUGUCUCAGCCUUCUGAGUAGCUGCAAUUACAGGUGCACACCACCAUAUCUGGCUAAUUUUUGAUUUUUAGUAGAAAUGGGGUUUCACCAUGUUGACCAGGCUGGUCUUGAACUCCUGACCUUGGUUGAUCUGCCCAUCUCAGCCUCUCAAAGUACUGGGAUUACAGGCGCGAGUCACCAUGCCUGGCCCAGGAUGACUUUUUAAGAUAAGUAAGUCCUAGAUAAUAACUUUGAUUCUGUAAAAUGUUCCCAUACCUUUUUUCUCAGUGAACUUGGGAAAAAGUCUAAGGGACCUAGUCUUAUGAUGCUCAUCAAAGUCUUCUACUUCCAUGUAAAUUAGAUACAUUUAUUAAUAAGACCUUUUCUUUUGGCUCCUGUAAGAAACAACUGCCUUUUAGUAUCUGCAAGUAACUUUUUGAAGCAACAAACAAAAAAAGUCUGAGGUUAUGAGAAUAAUCCUUCUGUUUUUCUUUUUUAAAUUUAUUUUUAUUUUUUGAGACAGAGUUUCACUCCCAUUGCCCAGCCUGGAGUGCAGUGGCACAGUCUCAGCUUGCUGCAACCUUCACCUCCAGGGUUUAAGUGAUUCUUAUGCCUCAGCCUCCCCAGUAGCUGGGAUUACAGGUGUGUACAACUAUGCCUGGCUAAUUUUUGUAUUUUUAGCAGAGAUGGAAUUUCAUCAUGCUGGCCAGGCUGGUCCAGAACUCCUGACCUCAAGUGAUCUGCCUGCCUCGACCUCCCAAAGUGCUGGGAUUAUAGGCAUGAGCCACCACACCUGGUCCAAGAAUAAUCUUUCUGAUAGUUGUAAGAAAUGACAACAUGGCCAUUGUAUAAAAAGUUCAAAAUGGUCAGACAAAGUGGGGUUAUUUAGUGUAGAGCCAAAUGGCCUUAUGCCAUAUACCUUAGUGACAUUAAGAAUGCCACUACAUAGGAAUAACAUUUAAAAAUAUAGCAACUUGUACAGCAUGCCGUGAUUGAUCCGACAUACUGGCUAAAUAUCAGAACUGCCACUAUAUAUAUGUUUAGUGUAUUGACAUAUGGCCAGACUUAUGCUGGAUUUAAAAAAAAAAACAAAACCCUGGCCAGGCUUGGUGGCUCAUGCCUGUAAUCCCAGCACUUUGGAAGGCUGAGGCAGUCCAAUCAUGAGGUCAGGAGUUUUGAGACCAGCCUGGCCAACAUAGUGAAACCUUGUCUCUACUAAAAAUACAAAAAUUAGUCGGCUGUGGUGGCACAUGCCUGUAGUCCCAGCUAUUCUGGAGGCUGAGGCAGGAGAAUCCUUUGAACCUGGGAGGCAGAGGUUGCAGUGAGCCGAGACUACGCUGUUGCACUCCAGCCUGGGUGACAGAGUGAGACUCUGUCUCAGAAAAAAAAAAAACAACCAAAAAACUAACCCUCAGAAUAGUGAGGUCAUUCUUGCCCUGUUACCUACAGAAUAGGUAUGUUUAGAAAUAAGGGAAAACAAUUUAGAAGCAGGUUCAAGGUUGGCAGUAGCAGAAACUUGGGCUUUCUGUGCCUUGACUGAAAAUGUCAAGGUGUCUUCUCCCAGGUAUCUUGAAAGCAUGAAGAAUACAUUUUGACUCAGUAGGUCACCUUCCUGGGCCCUAUCCU
rnacentral:lncRNA from 1 species